GAAACGCGGGGUGAAAAGGGUAUCCUCUGUCACUGCAUUUGAAACUUGCCUCUAUUAAAGUCUUGUUGUCACCUAGACGACGUCUAGCUAGUCUAAAAUGUAUCGCUUAAUCGAUAUCAACCGCUUGUAGUCACGCCGUUGGCAAGACACGUGAAGGAAAGGAACGAAAGCCACGUCCAUUUAUCUUACCAUUCCUUUUCGUCCCCUUUGACCAAAAAUUGUAGAAAAUUGUUUAGUUGCCAAUCGCAUUUGCCUCAGUUGAGAUGUGGAUGGAAGAUGUUCUGCAGAUAAAUGUGCGCCCAGACCUACACGGAAUCUCGUCGUUAAAAGGACAUACUUCUCAGAGAAAACUCGGUUGGUUUUUAUGGUGGUUCUACUCGUCAAUCAUUAAUUGAGAAGACACGUGAAGGAAAGGAACGAAAGUCAUGUCCAUUUAUCUUACCUUUCCUUCUCGUCACCUUUGACCAAAAAAUGAAGAAAAUGUUUAGUUGCCUUCCGCAUUUGGCUUAGUUGAGAUGUGUGUGAAAGCUGUUCUGUUGGUGAUAAAUGUGCACCCAGACCUACACGGAAUCUCCACGUGAAAGGUCAUUCUCCUCAGAGAAAAUCCGGUCUAUCAAAAAUAUGACGAGUUCUGCAUGUCCUUUAUGUUCGACGAUCAGUUUCGUCUCACAAGGCCAGAUUUUUCCCCCUCGUCUGUUUUGGCCUCAGGGUAAGCCUGCACAUGAGUUAGCUCAUCUGUGUUAUUCCAAAGAGCGUGAAGAAUUUGAGAACGGGUGAUGAGGAAAUAGCUAAUUGAUCCCGUGUAUCUGUUUUGAGAAUCUUGUGUGGUUUAUGAGAUAUUUGGUAACUGACACCAUAGGUCGAAGUUGCUUGGGAUGGUCUCUUUUGGUCGUAUGUGAGUAAGAUUUUCAACCCUUUUUCAAUACUUUUUUCAAACUUCUUCCUUGUUGAAACGCGCAGUAAAAUGAGGUGGAAAAGUAUGUCGCAACAUGUUAAUUGGCUAAUUGCAUCUUCUCUUGGUUUUUCGGCUUUCCCUUUUCGUCUCAGACCUCGAUACCAACGUCAGUUUUCUUUACAGUUCUGAUGGAACUCAGUUAAUACGGUUGAAUUUCCACGUUCUCUUAGGUAUAGGGUUUUGUUUCGACGUAGUGGACGCAAAGACACCGCUGCACGUGACGCUAUGUAACUUUUUUAUAUUGAGGCUAAAUUGCAAAUUGUAGAAUUUGUGAUUAAGAAAGACUCAAACUGUCGAAUAAACAACAAGAAAACCAGGAAGAGCAGUGUUGGCAUCGGUUAUGAACCUAAGCAGCACUUGAUUGCUUGUCGAGGUAAUUUCAAAUGGUGUCGUAACAGAUCCUGAUUUUUCAAACAGCAGCUUCGAGUACACGGUGGGUCCAUCGUAUACCUAAAUGUAAAAGAAAUGCUAGAUGUGUUGAUGUCCUAAACGAUUGUCUAAAUCUAACUGACGUAGAGAAAAUCUGCUUGGUCCUGUGUUUCAAAGAAAGCAAAAAGCAACCGGAUUUUUAAACCAGGUUUCACAUCGAUGUUCCAGCGGCAGUCAGUCAGAUGCGAAUAAACUAAUGGAUAGUUGGGGCUUUUGAUUAUUCCAUUAGAUCCAUCAAAGGUAUGGUUGCAUUGCGGUGUAGAAAUCUGUAUGAGUCAAGAAAUUUCCAACUUUAUUUUCAUACCAUUUAAUACAGGAUCAAUAAAAGCCGUACUCUGGAGACUGUCCAGGAGAAUGCAGGUUGUUCUCUAAUUUCAGGUGACGUCAAAUGAACCAUCAUUUUGUUGCUGAUCGAAUAGGCGACUGCUCUCCGUUGAUCUUUGGCUUCCCCAUCGUAAAGCACAAGACCUUCAGUACUCCAUCCGUCAUGAAUCUGUUGAUUAAAAAUGGUGAUAAUAAAGAACGUUUAAAAUU